AACGCGGGAUCUCGAACAAAACGAACACAAUGGUGGAAUGGAAAAUUUAACCCAACAGAACUCGGCAGCAGGUAGCACUAAUACCAUCGCCCUUACCAUUCCCCCCUUCGUCCGGCGUUUUCCCGCAACCAAAACUUCCCUUUUUUCCCGCGGAUAUCCUUUUGCUCUACGGUACAUUUUCAUUUUCUCCCAAUGCCUCUCGAUGAAAUUGGCAAAAUGGGUGGUGACGGUGGUUCAUCUGGAAAAAGAAAAGGCUCUCACAGGGCGCGUUGGGACGAGCGAGCAAACCCAUCCGAUGCUGCCCGAAUGUGUCCCUUUUUACGUGCCUUCGACGGUGUAUUUUGCACCGUUUUUGUCCGGGGGCUCGCGGUCACGGAGGUCAGCGAAGAUUGGUUCGGCAUUGGUUCAGGCCCUGGUUAUUAUAAUUUGAUUGCUACGGUUUCGCAACGGACGGAUAGAACACCCGUGUCCCUGCUGCUGUGAUAAAGUUAGAAUAUGGUACCGUUUUCGUUCGGGCUGACCAUGUGAGGGCAGUCGCGGAAAGAGUUCGAUUCGCUCUGGCACUUUUUGCCGGGGAGCGUUUUGUGUUUCCCAAUGCAUUAACGCACGGUUGCUUCGAACCAGCCAGGGUUAUCAAUCGCUAUAUUCACUAAGCAAUGCUAUGAAUUUGAGAUUAUGGCCGUGCUGGAAAAUAAAUUGAUGUGGUUGAUGAUGGAGUUAAGGAAAAGUUUUUAUUUGGAAUAAUAAUUAUUUACCGCAGCACUAGGAAUAUUGACAGCAAUAAAAAGCUUAUCAAUGGAAUGUGUUCUUAGUGACAACUAAAUAAAAAUCACUUGAUAUUUGAUAUUCAGAUAUACGAUUAGACAUCGCUUCACUUCUUGUUCGGUCGGUGUUUGUAAAUUGUAAAUCGUUUCGAGAAGCUUUCCAUUCAUCAUCGAUAAUGCCAUAUCAUUAGUGCCACGCCAACCGAGCGUGUAAUUCACAAACGAUAACACACUCACAGUUCCCGUUUAUGUUGAUGCUUCAUCGAUUUUAUGCUCCAUAAAUUAUUCACCACACUCCGACGGGGACUUGGCGAGAAGGGGUGGUAUAACCGAGAAACCACCAUGGAAUUGUACAAAAGGGUAGAUUUUGAAUGUGGUUUCUAAGACAAACGAUGUUUUGUUACACUAGUUGCUGUCUGCCAAUGUAGCGAAGAACGUUUAAUCAUUAAUCGUUUGCAAUGAGUGAGGUGGAAACGGAGAACUAUAGUUGAGUGACGCUAAAUGCUUGUGAUCUUGUAAUACCGGAGACAUUAGUGCCUUUGAGUCAUUUUUUAUUUUCAAAGUAAGUUAAGUGUAAAUACUGAUUGACUCAGGGAUAUAUGAUUCUAAUCAAUAAAGCAACCAAUAAUGAAGUUGGCUGAAGUUGGUAUUUUCAAAUUGAAGUUCAAGUUACAGUGGAAGGCGUUAAGAAUUUUGAUUCAUUUUUCGAUCUAUCUCUUUGACAUAGAUGUCAAUCAUUCCGAAUUGCUGAAAUUAGUACACAAUGAAUUAAAGCUUAUGUACAAAGAUUUCGCAAACUGAUGAGAUUCGAGAAAGAUUUGAGAUCUACCUAAAAAGAUUGGAGUUCAACUGGAAGUCAUUUCCAGAAAUGACUCCAACUCAUAUCUCUCUUAAUAAUAAUGUUCGUUUUUUUGCAAAUAUUUCAUUCAAUUUUUCAUAUGUUUAGUUUAACAGAUUGUAAAUUAAGUAUCAAAUACAUUGCUGCAGAAAUUUCUCAUCAUCAGUUUUGUGGAUACGAUUCGGCUCAUCAUGGUAUCUUUCCGUAAUCUCAUCGAUAAAGAUGGUUCGUAGCCAUCUUUUCUUAUUCGUCACGUUUGUUUGCCUUUCUUUCCCCAGCUCGCUUCCAAGAUGCGUGUGUUUAAACGUCUCAAAAAUUCGAUUCCUAGUUCUCCUCAUUUUUCUCACCGUUAUGCGCUCGAUACUUUCCACGGUGGUGGUAUUAGACGUUAACGAAAGAGACAAGAAUGUGGUAGCUCCUCAAGGGUGCCCAAAGUGGAUGAAUGGUGUCGGGAGGAGGAUUUUGGGGGGAGCCAGGGGGGUGGCAAAACAGGAAAAAAAAAUCCGUCACCAACCAUCCAACCGGAAGCGUUCGUUAUCUUUCUUUCGUACCUGUUUUUUCGCCAUCCCUUCGUACACCACGGCGGGUAGGAAAAAAUCGACCUCGUCCCCACCUAAAUAUGCUGUUGGUUCAUGCUGGUUGAAGCAAAUGGACAAAAAGUGGAGCCAAUUUUGAACAUUCGCUAGCAAAUGUCGAUGAAUUUUUGGGUGGGUUGGGGUUGGUAGACAGUAAAGGCCAGAAGAGGAUUCGAACCGAAAUGUGAUGAGAAUACGGUUCCGAAAAGUUACAGGGAUCUGGGUUUCGCUACGUCCUGAUAACUGACAAGAGCACCCAAAGAGAGAAAAAAGACAAUUUUGUCAAGGAGAAUGAGUGAAAAAUUGAUGACGAAAAAAAAAACGAAAGAAAGAAGGACAACAAAACCUCCAACGUUUUCGUCCUUACAAUCAGAGUCUUUUUUAUGAUGAGAAGAGGAAAAUGGUAUAAGAAGUAGACCAACGGACGGAGGAUUUCAUCUGCGCGAAUUCGGUACCGGGAGAAGAAAAAAAAACCGAACACCUUUUACCGUGCCGGGGCUGGGGGCCAUUUUGUUUCGAGAGUUUUGCACGAAGGCACGAUGAAAUGUCCUCGACGAUGUGUUGCCAACCGAUGGAUGGAUGAGUGGGAAUGAUUUGUGUGAGUGUUCCUUAUUUCUUUCCCUCGGCAAACCCACACACACGCGCGCGUCCUUUGCUUAAUUUAAAUUAAUUGCACAAAAUUCGUUGGACUUGGUUGUUGGAAAAAAAACCCGAAAAGAAUACACGUGCAGGGAAACGGCGAGACAACAGUGUUCAAGAGUACCGGAAAAUGUUAAGGGAGAAAAUGAUAUUACAACAGCUUGCGACUGCUUGCAGUGAAUACCAAAAGGACGAUUCGAUGGUAAGGUCAUGUUGUUUUUUUUUUAUUCGGAAAUGGAAAACGGUUCCACACGCACACUUUCUUAAGAGCUUCUUUCCAACAUUUCUUUUUGAGGUUAUAAAAGACAAAAAGUCAAAAGGAUCUGUCGGUUGCAUGGCUCCGAAAAGGUCAUUAAGUUAUUAAUACUUCUUUUUUUGUUUUCUAAGGUAAAAGUUGAAAAGUGUUGUUAAUCCGCAUCGUUGCGGAAAGUAAUUGAAUGAUUUCCGCUUAAAGCAGAUAUUGCUUUAAGAUGUUACAAGACGUUGGAAAGGACAUUGAGUGGAGUAUUAAAAAUUACAAAACAACAAUCGAGAACAAAGGAGGAAUGCUGCAAAUGCAUCAAUUACUUCCUAUGAAGAGAGAGAAAGAGCGAGAGAAAAACCAAACAAACAGCACAAAAACUGGAAAAGCCUCGGGAAAACUAAUCGAAUUUUCUUUAAUCGUCCAAGCAGUAAGGUUGUUCUUGCCCUGAUGUACGGGGUGGUUUUUUUUUGGUGUGUGUAGUAGUUGCUGUUCUGUGCAGCAAUACGUAUAUUCGUCCCAAUGAAGUGAAGCGUGGGAAAAGUGUCCGUGUGAAGCGUAACGCCGGGACAUUCCGUUUCUCUCUCUAGGGCAGGAAAUUUAUGUACCAUCAGGCAAGCAAGGCAGGCAAGGCACCGGUCUAUCUAAUUUUCCACUUUUCAUUUCUCCCGAAUCCCACCGAUGAUGGUCCAUGGGUUGUGUCGGGAAGAGGGCGAAGCAUGGUUUCGGUUUGUUCGUUUGUGUUGGUGUAUUUAUCGGGCGACACCCCGGAAAACCCGGUGUGUGGCCGGUUCUUAACUCGGGGAUGAUGGUGGUGGUUCAGUAAAUACGGUAGCUCGUUUGUAGUUCACCCAGAGCAUUUUGUGUUAUUGGGAAGAUAAGUGGCAAGUGGGGUGUUGGAUCGAAGGGGCGGAAAGAGGUGAGAAGAGAGGAAACAAACGAUGCAGUAACGAUUUUUGUUCGGCUUGUGCUAUGUACAGGAGUAACACACAAAAAAACCUACACCUCUCCUCCCUCCCCCCCUUCCCCCUUCGUACAGGACACCACCCCAUCCGCGCGAAGGACAAAAAAGGCGACCAAAGGGGGAAGGAUUUGCGCAAGUUUUACGGCUGGUUCCUUGCUAGCCGGCUUGGUAAACUGUUCUUUUCUGAGCUGCAGGAAGGAUUGUUGGACGCUUUUUUUUGUUGAGCCCCCGUUUUUGUGUGUGUGUGUGUGAUGCUAGAAUUUGAGAUGGCGUUUGAGGAGAUCGCAGAAUGGCGAAAGUAAGCAAAACACUAGCACUUGCUACUGGUAUACCAUCCAACACACCGGGCUGUUACCAGUUUCGUUUGCUUGACAGUAUUUUUUUGUUGCUGUUGGGUUUACUUCUUAGGAUAAAUCGGUAGCCUUUGCGUUUCCGGUGCCCGUUUUUGGGGUGAAAUGGACCCGUGUUGGAGCAAUUUUUUUUUGCUUUGUCACCAGUUUCACCAUCCUUUGUGGGGUUGUGUGUUGAGAAAAGAUGAGACUUAACAGUAAAGGCCAUUUUGUGCUAUAGCUUAAACCGUGCCGUGCCUUUGCUGCACUUCAUUCUUCCUGCCGUCGUCGCCAACGUUCCCCAAAUCAAACUUCCGGCAGUGCAGGUUGGAUGUGUGAGUGUGUCGGAGCUGGAAGAUUCCAACCGAAAACCCCGAACCGAACAGAGCUGGCCUUAAAAAACCAUCGUUCUUAUAUUAGGAAUUCCAGCUUGUGGAUGACAUAAGUCGAUGUGACGAGUUUUGUGGAAAGCUCAAAUACUCAAAUUUCUUUUUUUGUUGAUGUCGUUCUUCACCCAAACUGUUGUUCGUACGAAAUACGAAAUGUGCUCCAUGGACGGUGUUUUAAUUAUGAAUUUUGCUUACAUCUCUUUCGCGGGUCACUUUUUUUUGGAGGGAAGACGAAAUUCCUGAUACAGACCCAUCAAGGAUCUUGCUAUAACAUGUAUCUUUUUCAAACCAUAUUUUUGCUUUUUUAUUGCUCCUCAAGUGACUUUUAAAUGUAUGUCUAACGAAGAAAUCUUCGCAAUUGGCAUUCUUGCAAUUGGAAGUACAUGUCUCAGAGGGACAUGUGAGUAUUGGAACUGUCUAAAACCCACUGAUAAGGCUUGAUAGAUCAUUGAUACAACUAGUGUUGGGUCAAGUAACUCUUUUGCAAGAGCGGAGCGCACUUAAGCAUUAUCUGAGUGAAAAGAAACACAUUGCAGCAAAUUUGCAUGAAAAUAUAUCAGAUUUAUAAAUUUUGCUAAAUUGCUCAAAAAUGAGGAAAAUUUUACAUUUUCUCAAACAGGGUAAGGAACUUGGUUCCUCGAAUAACUUCUGGCACAGACAUCUGAGGGCAUGGCCGUCCAAGAAGAAAAUGUAGCCAUUGGUGCCAUCUAUCGACCACAGGUUAAAGAUUGGUGAUCCGUUGGAUACCGAUCGAGUUAUAGGCAAAACUUGGUGCAAAAAUGAGCCUUAGUAAAUUUUCAUUUUUUUGAAUUUUUUGAUUUUUUGAUUAUUUUUCACUCUUUUUUUUAUUUAAAGCAUUACUUGAGUGAAAAGAAACACAUUGCAACCGAUUGGCAUUAAAAUAAAUCAAUUUAAUUUUUUUUGCAAAAUUUCUCAAAAAAAACGUAAGGGGUAAGCCUUAUGAAAUUUUCGAGUGGAAAAUUUUUUUGAAAUUUUUUUCAGAUUUUUUAUUCUUUUUUUUAAUUUAAUGCAUUAUUUGAGUGAAAACAAACUUAUUGCAACAAAUUCGCAAUAAAAUAUAUCACAUUUAAAAAUUUUGCUGAAUUGCUCAAAAAUGAGGAAAAUUUUACAUUUUCUCAAACAGGGUAAGGAACCUGGUUCCUCGCAUAACUUCUGGCACAGACAUCUGAGGGCAUGGCCGUCCAAGAAGAAAAUGUAGCCAUUGAUGCCAUCUAUCGACCACAAGUUAAUGAUUGGCGAUCCGUUUGAUACCGAUCGAGUUAUAGGCAAAACUUGGUGCAAAAAUGAGCCUUAGUAAAUUUUUGUUUUUUUGAAUUUUUUGAUUUUUUGAUUAUUUUUCACUCUUUUUUUAUUUAAAGCAUUACUUGAGUGAAAAGAAACACAUUGCAACCGAUUGGCAUUAAAAUAAAUCAAUUUCAUUUUUUUUGCAAAAUUUCUCAAAAAAAACGUAAGGGGUAAGCCUUAUGAAAUUUUCGAGUGGAAAAUUUUUUUGAAAUUUUUUUCAGAUUUUUUAUUCUUUUUUUAAUUUAAAGCAUUAUUUGAGUGAAAACAAACUUAUUGCAACAAAUUCGCAAUAAAAUAUAUCACAUUUAAAAAUUUUGCUGAAUUGCUCAAAAAUGAGUUAAAUUUUACAUUUUCUCAAACAGGGUAAGGAACUUGGUUCCUCGCAUAACUUCUGGCACAGACAUCUGAGGGCAUGGCCGUCCAAGAAGAAAAUGUAGACUUUGAUGCCAUCUAUCGACCACAAGUUAAUGAUUCGCGAUCCGAUGGAUACCGACCGAGUUAUAGGCAAAACUUGGUGCAAAAAUGAGGAAAAUUUUACAUUUUCUCAAGCAGGGUAUGGCACUUGGUUCCUCGAAUAACUUCUGGCACAGACAUCUGAGGGCAUGGCCGUCCAAGAAGGAAAUGUAGCCAUUGAUGCCACCUAUCGACCACAGGUUAAUGAUUGGCGAUCCGUUUGAUACCGAUCGAGUUAUAGGCAAAACUUGGUGCAAAAAUGAGCCUUAGUAAAUUUUCAUUUUUUUGAAUUUUUUGAUUUUUUGAUUAUUUUUCACUCUUUUUUUUAUUUAAAGCAUUACUUUAGUGAAAAGAAACACAUUGCAACCGAUUGGCAUUAAAAUAAAUCAAUUUCAUUUUUUUUGCAAAAUUUCUCAAAAAAAACGUAAGGGGUAAGCCUUAUGAAAUUUUCGAGUGGAAAAUUUUUUUGAAAUUUUUUUCAGAUUUUUUAUUCUUUUUUUAAUUUAAAGCAUUAUUUGAGUGAAAACAAACUUAUUGCAACAAAUUCGCAAUAAAAUAUAUCACAUUUAAAAAUUUUGCUGAAUUGCUCAAAAAUGAGGAAAAUUUUACAUUUUCUCAAACAGGGUAAGGAACCUGGUUCCUCGCAUAACUUCUGGCACAGACAUCUGAGGGCAUGGCCGUCCAAGAAGAAAAUGUAGCCAUUGAUGCCAUCUAUCGACCACAAGUUAAUGAUUGGCGAUCCGUUGGAUACCGACCGAGUUAUAGGCAAAACUUGGUGCAAAAAUGAGGAAAAUUUUACAUUUUCUCAAACAGGGUAAGGAACUUGGUUCCUCGAAUAACUUCUGGCACAGACAUCUGAGGGCAUGUGCGUCCAAGUAGAAAAUGUAGCCAUUGAUGCCACCUAUCGAGCACAGCUUAAAGAUUGACGAUCCCUUGGAUACCGAUCGAGUUAUAGGCAAAACUUGGUGCAAAAAUGAGCCUUAGUAAAUUUUCAUUUUUUUGAAUUUUUUGAUUUUUUGAUUAUUUUUCACUCUUUUUUUUAUUUAAAGCAUUACUUGAGUGAAAAGAAACACAUUGCAACCGAUUGGCAUUAAAAUAAAUCAAUUUAAUUUUUUUUGCAAAAUUUCUCAAAAAAAACGUAAGGGGUAAGCCUUAUGAAAUUUUCGAGUGGAAAAUUUUUUUGAAAUUUUUUUCAGAUUUUUUAUUCUUUUUUUUAAUUUAAUGCAUUAUUUGAGUGAAAACAAACUUAUUGCAACAAAUUCGCAAUAAAAUAUAUCACAUUUAAAAAUUUUGCUGAAUUGCUCAAAAAUGAGGAAAAUUUUACAUUUUCUCAAACAGGGUAAGGAACCUGGUUCCUCGCAUAACUUCUGGCACAGACAUCUGAGGGCAUGGCCGUCCAAGAAGAAAAUGUAGCCAUUGAUGCCAUCUAUCGACCACAAGUUAAUGAUUGGCGAUCCGUUUGAUACCGAUCGAGUUAUAGGCAAAACUUGGUGCAAAAAUGAGCCUUAGUAAAUUUUUGUUUUUUUGAAUUUUUUGAUUUUUUGAUUAUUUUUCACUCUUUUUUUAUUUAAAGCAUUACUUGAGUGAAAAGAAACACAUUGCAACCGAUUGGCAUUAAAAUAAAUCAAUUUCAUUUUUUUUGCAAAAUUUUUUAAAAAAAACGUAAGGGGUAAGCCUUAUGAAAUUUUCGAGUGGAAAAUUUUUUUGAAAUUUUUUUCAGAUUUUUUAUUCUUUUUUUAAUUUAAAGCAUUAUUUGAGUGAAAACAAACUUAUUGCAACAAAUUCGCAAUAAAAUAUAUCACAUUUAAACAUUUUGCUGAAUUGCUCAAAAAUGAGUUAAAUUUUACAUUUUCUCAAACAGGGUAAGGAACUUGGUUCCUCGCAUAACUUCUGGCACAGACAUCUGAGGGCAUGGCCGUCCAAGAAGAAAAUGUAGACAUUGAUGCCAUCUAUCGACCACAAGUUAAUGAUUCGCGAUCCGAUGGAUACCGACCGAGUUAUAGGCAAAACUUGGUGCAAAAAUGAGGAAAAUUUUACAUUUUCUCAAGCAGGGUAUGGCACUUGGUUCCUCGAAUAACUUCUGGCACAGACAUCUGAGGGCAUGGCCGUCCAAGAAGGAAAUGUAGCCAUUGAUGCCACCUAUCGACCACAGGUUAAUGAUUGGCGAUCCGUUUGAUACCGAUCGAGUUAUAGGCAAAACUUGGUGCAAAAAUGAGCCUUAGUAAAUUUUCAUUUUUUUGAAUUUUUUGAUUUUUUGAUUAUUUUUCACUCUUUUUUUUAUUUAAAGCAUUACUUUAGUGAAAAGAAACACAUUGCAACCGAUUGGCAUUAAAAUAAAUCAAUUUCAUUUUUUUUGCAAAAUUUCUCAAAAAAAACGUAAGGGGUAAGCCUUAUGAAAUUUUCGAGUGGAAAAUUUUUUUGAAAUUUUUUUCAGAUUUUUUAUUCUUUUUUUAAUUUAAAGCAUUAUUUGAGUGAAAACAAACUUAUUGCAACAAAUUCGCAAUAAAAUAUAUCACAUUUAAAAAUUUUGCUGAAUUGCUCAAAAAUGAGGAAAAUUUUACAUUUUCUCAAACAGGGUAAGGAACCUGGUUCCUCGCAUAACUUCUGGCACAGACAUCUGAGGGCAUGGCCGUCCAAGAAGAAAAUGUAGCCAUUGAUGCCAUCUAUCGACCACAAGUUAAUGAUUGGCGAUCCGUUGGAUACCGACCGAGUUAUAGGCAAAACUUGGUGCAAAAAUGAGGAAAAUUUUACAUUUUCUCAAACAGGGUAAGGAACUUGGUUCCUCGAAUAACUUCUGGCACAGACAUCUGAGGGCAUGUGCGUCCAAGUAGAAAAUGUAGCCAUUGAUGCCACCUAUCGAGCACAGCUUAAAGAUUGACGAUCCCUUGGAUACCGAUCGAGUUAUAGGCAAAACUUGGUGCAAAAAUGAGCCUUAGUAAAUUUUCAUUUUUUUGAAUUUUUUGAUUUUUUGAUUAUUUUUCACUCUUUUUUUUAUUUAAAGCAUUACUUGAGUGAAAAGAAACACAUU